AUGGUCCGCACGAUAACCGAAGGCAUCGUGAAUAGGUUUUUGAGCUCCGCGAAGGCCGAGAUGCUUCAAAAGAACGAGACGGAGAUAAGAUGUCCGUGUCGAAGAUGCAAGCUAAGGAGCCUUAUGGACCCGGAUUCUGUACAGGUGCGGGACCACCUGCUCUUGCGUGGUUUCAUGCAUGACUAUCGGUGGCAAGGUGAUGAAGAUGAUUAUGAAGUCGUCCAUGGGGGCCGGCCGACAAGAAAUGAGGAAGGGCAGCAAGACAACCGCGGCAAGGGCGGGCGAGAAGACGAAGAAUCUCCAGGACAUGAUCACGAAGUAGAUGCAGUACACAGUCAUCAUGUAGAAGAUGCCGGACAUGAUGAUGAGGAAGAUGCCGGAGCAGACGAAGGGCAUGAUCAUGAAGAUGAAGAUGCCGGAGCAGACGACGAUGGACCAUCGAUGGGCUGGGUGCAGGACCCUCAUAUUCAAGAGCUGCUUCUCAAGCAGAUGGAUAACGCAAGAGCUGCCGACCGAGAGAAAGCCAAGCUGGAUCAACUGGAGAUAGACGCGGUUACUCCAUUGUAUGAAGGAUGCAGGCCCGAGGAUACCCGCCUGAAAGUAACGCUCAUGGCUCUGGAGAUGAAGGUCAAACACAAAAUGACCGACGCAUGCUUCGAUGAGAACAUGUCAUUCUGGCACGAACGUCUUCCCAAGGGGAACAAGUGCCCGACCAGUUUCGAGGAGGCGAAGAAAAAUUGUGUGUCCUCUGGAUUUACCGCACGUGAAAUACCAUGUGUGCAUGAACAAUUGCAUCAUUUAUCGGGACGAGCACGCGGAGUCUACCAUAUGUCCGGUGUGCGGCAUCACUCGAUACAAGAAGAGGAAGAAAGCUCCUCGAAAAGUGGUGUGGUACUUUCCGAUCACUCCUCGUCUGCAGCGGUAUUUCGCGGACCCUAA
rnacentral:rRNA from 1 species